rnacentral:rRNA from 1 species
AAAACUUUCCAACAACGGAAUCUCUUGGUUCUGGCAUCGAUAAAGAACCCACCAAAAUGCAAUAAAUAAUGUGAAUUGCAGAAUUCAGUGAAUCAUCGAAUCUUUGAACGCACAUUGCGCCCGCCAGUAUUCUGGCGGGCAUGCCUGUCCGAGCGUCAUU